rnacentral:rRNA from 1 species
AGUGAACGCUGGCGGUAGGCCUAACACAUGCAAGUCGAACGGCAGCACAGUAAGAGCUUGCUCUUACGGGUGGCGAGUGGCGGACGGGUGAGAAAUACAUCGGAAUCUACUUUUUCGUGGGGGAUAACGUAGGGAAACUUACGCUAAUACCGCAUACGACCUACGGGUGAAAGCAGGAGAUCUUCGGACCUUGCGCGAUUGAAUGAGCCGAUGUCGGAUUAGCUAGUUGGCGGGGUAAAGGCCCACCAAGGCGACGAUCCGUAGCUGGUCUGAGAGGAUGAUCAGCCACACUGGAACUGAGACACGGUCCAGACUCCUACGGGAGGCAGCAGUGGGGAAUAUUGGACAAUGGGCGCAAGCCUGGUCCAGCCAUACCGCGUGGGUGAAGAAGGCCUUCGGGUUGUAAAGCCCUGUUGUUGGGAAAGAAAAGCAGUAUGUUUAAAUCCCGCUGUUCUGACGGUACCCAAAGAAUAAGCACCGGCUAACUUCGUG